rnacentral:rRNA from 1 species
CCGGAGCUAACGCGUUAAGUCGACCGCCUGGGGAGUACGGCCGCAAGGUUAAAACUCAAAUGAAUUGACGGGGGCCCGCACAAGCGGUGGAGCAUGUGGUUUAAUUCGAUGCAACGCGAAGAACCUUACCUGGUCUUGACAUCCACGGAAGUUUUCAGAGAUGAGAAUGUGCCUUCGGGAACCGUGAGACAGGUGCUGCAUGGCUGUCGUCAGCUCGUGUUGUGAAAUGUUGGGUUAAGUCCCGCAACGAGCGCAACCCUUAUCCUUUGUUGCCAGCGGUCCGGCCGGGAACUCAAAGGAGACUGCCAGUGAUAAACUGGAGGAAGGUGGGGAUGACGUCAAGUCAUCAUGGCCCUUACGACCAGGGCUACACACGUGCUACAAUGGCGCAUACAAAGAGAAGCGACCUCGCGAGAGCAAGCGGACCUCAUAAAGUGCGUCGUAGUCCGGAUUGGAGUCUGCAACUCGACUCCAUGAAGUCGGAAUCGCUAGUAAUCGUGGAUCAGAAUGCCACGGUGAAUACGUUCCCGGGCCUUGUACACACCGCCCGUCACACCAUGGGAGUGGGUUGCAAAAGAAGUAGGUAGCUUAACCUUCGGGAGGGCGCUUACCACUUUGUGAUUCAUGACUGGGGUGAAGUCGUAACAAGGUAACCGUAGGGGAACCUGCGGU